rnacentral:rRNA from 1 species
GAUGAACGCUGGCGGCGUGCCUAAUACAUGCAAGUCGAGCGAACAGAUGAGGAGCUUGCUCCUCUGACGUUAGCGGCGGACGGGUGAGUAACACGUGGAUAACCUACCUAUAAGACUGGGAUAACUUCGGGAAACCGGAGCUAAUACCGGAUAAUAUAUUGAACCGCAUGGUUCAAUAGUGAAAGACGGUUUUGCUGUCACUUAUAGAUGGAUCCGCGCCGCAUUAGCUAGUUGGUAAGGUAACGGCUUACCAAGGCAACGAUGCGUAGCCGACCUGAGAGGGUGAUCGGCCACACUGGAACUGAGACACGGUCCAGACUCCUACGGGAGGCAGCAGUAGGGAAUCUUCCGCAAUGGGCGAAAGCCUGACGGAGCAACGCCGCGUGAGUGAUGAAGGUCUUCGGAUCGUAAAACUCUGUUAUUAGGGAAGAACAAAUGUGUAAGUAACUAUGCACGUCUUGACGGUACCUAAUCAGAAAGCCACGGCUAACUAAGUG